UUUUUCCCCCUGAUUUGAUUAUGUCAACGGCGCGAUCCUCCAGUUUUAUAUACCCAUUUGGGUAUUUAAUUCCAAGAUCUUUAGUCCUAUACCACCCUCCCUCAAAUGCUUCUUCAGUUUUUGUAGUAUCUUUCAAGUACCCUAACAUCACAGCAUUGCCUCUAAACAUGAUUUCCCCUGUAGUUUUCCCAUCUGCUGGCACACUUUUCAUACUCUCUGGAUCUUUUACAUCAACUUCAAGUAUCUUUCAGGUACCCUAACAUCAUAGCAUUGCCUCUAAACAUGAUUUCUCCUGUAGUUUUCCCAUCUGCUGGCACACUUUUCAUGUUCUCUGGAUUUUUUACAUCAACUUCUUCCAUCAUAAUGUU
rnacentral:lncRNA from 1 species